UACGUAGGGUGCAAGCGUUGUCCGGAAUUACUGGGUGUAAAGCGCGCGUAGGUGGGAGGCCAAGUCUGUGGUGAAAGCGCCCGGCUCAACUGGGCAGAGUCCAUGGAAACUGGUCACCUGGAGGACGGUAGAGGCGAGUGGAAUUCCCGGUGUAGUGGUGAAAUGCGCAGAUAUCAGGAAGAACACCCGUGGCUAAGGCGGCUCUCUAGUACGGUACUGACGCUGAGACGCGAAAGCGUGGGGAGCGAACAGG
rnacentral:rRNA from 1 species